rnacentral:misc_RNA from 1 species
UCAAACUUGGUCAUUUAGAGGAAGUAAAAGUCGUAACAAGGUCUCCGUAGGUGAGUAAAAGAUCUUCCAUCCGACCAUCCGACCACAACGAAAUGCUAACUGUUCUACCAGGUGAACCUGCGGAGGGAUCAUUACCGAGCGAGGGCCCAAGGCCCGAACUCCCACCCUUGUCGUCUUAUCGCAGUCCCUCGGGGGCGACCCUCGGGCCCCCCGUGGACAAACGAAACUCCGUCACACGUCGUCAUGAAUCAAACAAAUGAAGCAAAACUUUCAACAAUGGAUCUCUUGGUUCUGGCAUCGAUGAAGAACGCAGC